rnacentral:rRNA from 1 species
CCCGCACAAGCGGUGGAGCAUGUGGUUUAAUUCGAUGAUACGCGAGGAACCUUACCUGGGCUCAAAUGUAUGUUGACGUAUUCUGAAAGGGAUACUUCUUCGGACAAUAUACAAGGUGCUGCAUGGUUGUCGUCAGCUCGUGCCGUGAGGUGUCGGGUUAAGUCCCAUAACGAGCGCAACCCCUAUCAUUAGUUGCCAUCAGGUCAAGCUGGGGACUCUAAUGAAACUGCCUACGCAAGUAGUGAGGAAGGUGGGGAUGACGUCAAAUCAGCACGGCCCUUACGGCCUGGGCUACACACGUGCUACAAUGGUCGGUACAAAGGGUUGCCAAGCCGCGAGGUGGAGCUAAUCCCAUAAAACCGAUCGUAGUCCGGAUCGCAGUCUGCAACUCGACUGCGUGAAGUCGGAAUCGCUAGUAAUCGUGAAUCAGAAUGUCACGGUGAAUACGUUCCCGGGCCUU